GCACACGAACCCUUACCGAGGUUUCUUAGGGGGUCGAUGGCCGUCGUCUCGGACUUCCCGGCGUCUUUCCUCCUGGCUCCCAGCAUGGCGCGUGAUCGUCGAAGACAGGAGCGCAGACGAGGAGACCGCUAUGUGCGACAACCUUUAUCCUGCGAGAGGCUCCAGGAGCGCGCCCGCCCAUUCCUAAGUCUGAUGACGUCACAGAGCAGGGAUUGAAAAAAUAAAAGAAAAAAGCUGUGUUGUUUCUUCAGAUCAGAAACCAGAACCUACUGGUAGCCCGGGGUCUGGUGGGAGAUGGAACCCUGAGUUCUCUGGCAAGAUCAUGACCCGGGGAUCCCAUCACAUCUGAGCCUGGGGUGUUGGUGUCCUUGUGGUGCGGGUUCUGGACCUUGCCCUCAAGCACCGGGCCUUUCCAAAAAUUUCAACAGUGGAUGAGUAAGCCUAGGUGGGCAAUAUUUACAACACUAUUCGGGGACCCCCACUUCAUUUGGGUGUCCUCAUCCUGGGCAGCCCCUGCCUCGCUCUCUCCUAUAUCUCCUGCGGGGUGGGCAGGUGGUGUCCUGAAGUGUGGGGCGGGUCUCCCCUGGGGGCCCUGGCUCGUUCCUAGGGUUGGGGGGACGCUCAGAACUCCUGGGUGGUGGUGGGGGUUCAUCUGGGGCUGGCUGGGCUGGAGCUUGCACUCUCUUUGCUCCUGUGCCUCCCUGCUCUCUGGCAUUGGGGGCCCCUGUGGCGGUCCUGCUGGCCCUGGUCUGGGUGGCUGACGUGAAAGCUGAGCAGGGAGAUUUCAUCUAUUUGCUAUACCAUCAGAGGCUCCUGGCUAUCGCUGCUGCUUUGGAUGUCUUGAUGUGGGGAUGACCGGACAUGCUCCCUCUUUUUUUACAUUCAAUCAUCCACCUGAGCAGAAAAUUCACACUCACCUGGGUUCAGGUGUCGGCUCACCUUUGCACAAAUAAUAUGCAAGACUGAAUUAAAUGCUUUACAUGUGUUGGUUUGUAUGCGUAACUAUGUGCUUGUGAACUGCAGUUGUAAUGUGUAUAUGCUGACGUGUUUAUAUGUGAAGAUAUUUGGAGCCAACAGGUGUGUUUGUUACAUUCAAAUUGUUACUUGCUGCUUUAUGAUUCUUACCCCACCUCUCUAAUGUCCCUUUCUCUUUUUUCCUAUUCUUCUUUUCUGUCCGGUCCAACAAAAUAAGGAUACACACAUAAUCAAUUGAAAUAAAGUUUAGCCCAGA